GAUGUAGUCUUGAUAUAGACGCUCCUUAUAGCCUUGGAACAUUGGGGCCAUCUUCUUCAUAGACCAAUCUCGGACUCUUUCCUUCAACUGUUCAUCGUUUGUCUCCAGUGUGAAAUGUUGCAAACCAUCACCCCAGAGUAGCUCCUUGUCACGUCUAGAGACAUAACUGAUUUUUGGGUGUUUCUUGUUCUCCUUCCAUUCACGGACACUGAUCGGGAUCCUAUCCCGGACAAGGUACCCUAAGUGGUAGACGAAGGCCCUUGAAUGGGGUCCAAGUGGCUUGCCUGUUGCUUCCUUGAAUUCUGAGAUUACUAACUGGCCCUCCAUAGGCUUCUUUAGGCCUCGUACUCUCCGACUGGUCCCCGUGGUUGUCGUCGAGCCAGAGGGCUAUGUAGAAAGAAACAAGACAAUUUAAUACAAGAUAAUAUUUUGAAUUAUAUCUGUAAAAACAAAGGAGACUGCCAUAUUACAGACUUGCUGGCCAGCAUUGUCGUGCUCAUUCGGGUCGACCAAAUACUGAGAGUAGUCAUCGAUGUCCUCAGGGUUCUCAUCGCCUUCGCGAUCGUUGUGAUAAACUUCUUCAUUGGGACCGUAGAUCAGGUUCAUCAUUUCCUCUUCGUGUUCUCUUGGGUCGGCCAUUUCUGCAGAAAUAUGUGACACAUGACUACUAGCACUACUGUGUAUACCUGACAAGGAAACAAUAUAUAAAACUAGGGUUUAGGGUUUAGGGGUUAGGGUUUAGGGUUUAGGGUUUAGGGCUUAGAGCUUAGGAUUAGGGUUUAGGUUUAGGGUUUAGAGUAUAUCAUUUGCUAACAAUUAAAGAUAUCAUAAUUGUAGCACUAAUUUAUACCACUAGUUGUACCACUAAUUAUAACACUAAUUGUACCGCUAAUAGAUCCAUCUCUAGACAUACCUGUAGUUUGAAGGCGGUGAGACGGUGGAGAGACGGCGGUCGGUGCGGAGACUCGACGGGGACUUCGGUGACCACGGCAGAGAGACAUCGAUCUAGAAGGAAGAAAGAGGGAACGAAUAUUAUAUCACAUUUACAUAUUGUGGCGCAUGUAUGAAGCACUAAAUAUAGAAGAAAACAAAAACUAAUUAGCUACAAACAAAUGAAAAUACUACAGUACCCUAAUUAUGUAUUAUUAAUAUUAAUAUUUUUUACUAUAUAUUUAGUUAAAGUUAUUUCUUUAUUUCGUCAGAUUUUUCGCACGCACAUCCCUAUUUCGUGAGAGUAUAUUAAUUAUUUAUUCUAUCAUUUUGUAUACUGAAAAUAUCAUAUAAAACAUCACAUAUGUAGUAAGUGAACAUUACUAAAUACACCAUAGAACAUCACUAAAUAAAUUAUAGAACAUCACAUCGCAUAUAUAUUGUGUGAACAUCACUAAAUACAUCAUAGAACACUAUAUGUAUACUAUGUGAACAUCGCUAAAAUAUGUUAUAGAACAUCACAUAUAUAUUACGUGAAAAAAACUAAAUACACCAUAGAACAUCACUAAUUACGUUAAAAACAUCGUAUAUAUAGUACGUGAAAAUAAAUAAAAAAUUGGUACUAUAAUAUACAUGAAUUGGUACUAUAAUAUACAUAAAAAUAAAUAAAUAUAUAUGAAUUUGAGCAGAGGCAAUAUUCUAGAUUUAUAAGAAAUUGGUACUAUAAUAUACAUGAAAAUAAAUAAAUAUAUAAUGUAAUACAAAUAAUAACUAGAGCAAAUCAUAGGAAAAAAAAAUAAAAACAUGUAACAAAGAAAAAAAAUUAAAGAACAACGUAUAUAUAUUACGUGAACAUCACUACAGUUAUUUCUUUGCUUUUUCAUAUUUUUUCAUAUUUUUUUUAUUUUCAUUUCUCAGGCCUUGUUUAGUUCACAAAAAUUUCAGUUUUUGGCUACUGUAGCACUUUCGUUUUUAUUUGACAAAUAUUGUCCAAUUAUGAUGUAAUUAGGCUCAAAAUAUUCAUCUUACAAAUUACAGGUAAACUGUACAAUUAGUUUUUAUUUUCGUCUAUAUUUAAUACUCUAUGCAUGCGACCAAAAAUUCGAUGUGACGAGGAAAUCUUUAAAAUUUUUGCGAACUAAACAAGGCCUUAGCCCACGGGGGGCUCGGGCGCACGGGGCCGGGGCUCGGGCUGCGCCGCCGGUGGGAGCGCACGUGGCCGCGUGCCCGACGGUGUACGGCAUGGGGCCCGCAUUGUCGGGCGCGACAUACGGCGGCACGGGCGCGCGGCCGCGGCGUAGGUGACAGCGGGCGCGCGCGAGAACGAGAGAAAGAGAGGAGAGAGGGAUAGAGGCGGCGGGCGCGCGGCGUAUGGCGGGGCGACGCCCGAGCAACGACGACGGAGCAGCGGCGGAGAAGACGACGCGUCGCGCGCGGCGGAUAGGGCACGGCGCAGUAGAAAGACGACGGAUGCGGGCAGUGUGCAGGAGGAAGAAGGCUCUGCCUUUUAUAGGGCAGGGCACCUUUAGUCCCGGGCCGAGCCAGCGCCCGGGACUAAAGGU
rnacentral:lncRNA from 1 species